UGUGCAUCACUCAAAAACAGUAUCUGAUUAAAGUUGGUAAGCCAUAUAAUUGUAAUAUGUUGUAUGUGACAUAUUAACUGGGUUAUAAAAGAUUAAAUAUAAAUACAGAAUAAUAUAUUCUGUAUGCUGAGGAGACCCUAUAGGGUAGGCCAAUACUAGAUGAAUUACAGAAAAGAGAGGGGGUUGAGGCAGGUUCAUGGUAAAAUAAGAACUACAACACCUAGAGCGUAAAAACCAUCUUAUAAUGGAAGAAACGCAACCCCAAGAUUGUAGCAGUCCCACUUUGUGCUGGAAGAAAUGCAACUCUAACAUUCUAUCAGUCUUUCAGUAAAAUCAAACGAAAUUACCAAACGGGUUCCCAGGAAAAUCACGGCUAAAACGAUCUUGUUUAGUCAGUUCCGUGACCUCCCCCAUCUCUCCUCCUGCGGAGCGGCAUCUGCUCCGGCUGGGCGGGAGCCCAGGAGGCCCUACCAGCCCCAGCCCUUCAUUUCCGCCGGCAGAAUCUCGAGGCUUUUCCCGCCACGGCCGGGGGUUCCGCCUCUCCUGCGCGCUGGAGGGAGUGCGCAUGUGCCGAGCCGGCCCGCUGGUAAUUCCCUGGCGGCUCCACGGACGCCUAGCAAUGGCGGAGACGGACGCCAGCCUGUUGCGCCAGUUCCCGCUGCUGUUGCCACAAAACCGGGCGAAAACCGUGUAUGAAGGAUUCAUUUCGGCUCAGGGAAGAGAUUUCCACCUUAGAAUAUUAUUGCCUGAAGAUUUACAGUUGAAGAAUGCAAGAUUGUUAUGUAGUUGGCAACUGAGAACAAUACUUAGUGGAUACCAUCAAAUAGUACAACAGAGAAUGCAGCACUCUUCUGAUCUAAUGAGCUUUAUGAUGGAGUUAAAGAUGCUUUUGGAAGUUGCCUUAAAGAAUAAACAAGAGGUAUAUGCUCCACUUCCUCCUCCCCAGUUCUACUCAAGCAUUAUUGAAGAGAUAGGAACUCUUGGUUGGGAUAAGCUUGUGUAUGUGGAUAUCUGCCUCAGUACAAUCAAGUUAAAAGCCGAAGAUGCUUCUGGUAGAGAGCAUCUAAUCACUCUCAAGUUGAAGGAGAAGUACCCUACAGAAUCACCAGAUUGUUUUGUGGAUUUUCCUGUUUCAUUUUCAUUUUCCUGGACACCACAGAGCUCCCUAACAGGCAUUUAUAGCCAGUUCUUGGCAGCGUUAGAAUCACUGAAGGUGUUCUGGGAUGUAAUGGAUGAAAUUGAUGAAAAGACCUGGGUACUCGAGCCGGAAAAACCUACACGGGGUGCGACAGCACGCAGAAUUGCAUUAGGAAUGAAUGCUUCAAUAAACAUAGAGGUAGACCCCCGGCAUCCUACUCUGCUUCCUGAGUGCUGCUUUCUUGGAGCUGACCAUGUGGUAAAACCUCUGGGAAUUAAGCUGAGCAGAAAUAUACAUUUGUGGGAUCCAGAAAAUAGUCUGUUACAAAAUUUGAAAGAUGUUUUAGAAAUUGAUUUUCCAGCUCGUGCUAUCCUGGAAAAAUCUGAUUUUUCAAUGGAUUGUGGAAUUUGUUAUGCCUAUCAACUUGAUGGUGCCAUUCCUGAUCAAGUGUGUGAUAAUGCUCAGUGUGGACAGCCUUUCCAUCAAAUAUGCUUGUAUGAGUGGUUGAGAGGACUACUGACUAGUAGACAGAGUUUUAACAUCAUAUUUGGUGACUGUCCCUACUGUAGUAAGGAACUACUUCAGCCACUCAGAAAAUGCUUUAGAUUAUACAAGAGAACUGAAUCUGGAUAAGAAUCACUGCAAGUUUUAAAACAUACAGAUGCUGUUUCUCAACACAGCCUCCCUCUGCCCUAUAAGUAACUUUACCUCAGGAUCCAAUGCAUAACAGUGAAUUGCAUCGGAAGGGCCUUUGUCUUCAGUUCAGCACCCCUCCAGGGAUACCCAAGUGCUCUUUUUUACUUCCUGCUGCACCUCCUGGACUCAC